rnacentral:rRNA from 1 species
UUCGGAUUGUAGUCUGCAACCCGACUACAUGAAGCUGGAAUCGCUAGUAAUCGCGGAUCAGAAUGCCGCGGUGAAUACGUUCCCGGGUCUUGUACACACCGCCCGUCACACCAUGGGAGUCGGGAACACCCGAAGUCCGUAGCCUGACCGCAAGGGGGGCGCGGCCGAAGGUGGGUUCGAUAAUUGGGGUGAAGUCGUAACAAGGUAGC